CAGCUUUGGUUGAUGCAUGAUCAAUGAAGACCAAGAAACGGGUGAUGAAGGUGAAAAAAAAAGGGCCGGUUAUUAUAAAGACACUGUUAUAAGUGAAGUGAAUAAAAAGUCUCAACUGGAAAAGUAAUGAAUGAAGAAGCACCUGUUAUAAGUGACUGAGCAGCAGACAGCUAAGCCACGGGGAGUCUGAUGCCUUCACACUACAGUAAAAAAAAAAAUUAUGAAAACUGUUGCUAAAGCAUUAACAUUACUCAAAAUUAAUUCACUACAUAUACGUAAUCUUAUCCUUUACUUUAUUCAAAGUGAAAGUAAAAUAAAUAUGUUUGCAUGUGUUACUUUUUGUUUGCUUGCCGUUAAUUACAUAACGUAAGUGGCUUUUGGAAUAUAAGCAGAUGAAGUAGUAGAUGAUAAAAUGAAUAGUGAAGGUGAAAUAUUGUUGAAUUAACUAACAUGAUUCAUAUUCUCUUGGUUUCUGUAAACAAUAUUCUUAACAAUUUCAAAUAAAAAAAAUAAAAACA